UACGUAGGGUGCAAGCGUUGUACGGAAUUACUGGGCGUAAAGCGUCUGUAGGUGGCUUGUCGCGUCGUCUGUGAAAUUCCGGGGCUUAACUCCGGGCGUGCAGGCGAUACGGGCAUAACUUGAGUACUGUAGGGGAGACUGGAAUUCCUGGUGUAGCGGUGAAAUGCGCAGAUAUCAGGAGGAACACCGGUGGCGAAGGCGGGUCUCUGGGCAGUAACUGACGCUGAGGAGCGAAAGCAUGGGGAGCGAAUGGG
rnacentral:rRNA from 1 species